rnacentral:rRNA from 1 species
GACGAACGCUGGCGGCGUGCUUAACACAUGCAAGUCGAACGGAAAGGCCCUGCUUUUGUGGGGUGCUCGAGUGGCGAACGGGUGAGUAACACGUGAGUAACCUGCCCUUGACUUUGGGAUAACUUCAGGAAACUGGGGCUAAUACCGGAUAGGAGCUCCUGCUGCAUGGGGGGGGUUGGAAAGUUUCGGCGGUUGGGGAUGGACUCGCGGCUUAUCAGCUUGUUGGUGGGGUAGUGGCUUACCAAGGCUUUGACGGGUAGCCGGCCUGAGAGGGUGACCGGCCACAUUGGGACUGAGAGACGGCCCAGACUCCUACGGGAGGCAGCAGGGGGGAAUAUUGCACAAUGGGCGGAAGCCUGAUGCAGCAACGCCGCGUGCGGGAUGACGGCCUUCGGGUUGUAAACCGCUUUCGCCUGUGACGAAGCGUGAGUGACGGUAAUGGGUAAAGAAGCACCGGCUAACUACGUG